rnacentral:lncRNA from 13 species
UUUCUCAGCGGGGCCCAGGGUGGCUCUGUUUGUUCCCUGUUUGGAAAGCUCUCCCAGGAAAAAGGUUCUCCCAGCAUCUCUAAACCCUCCCAGGUUCCCAUCCACCUACAAAGCUCAAAUCCAGACUGAGCGGGCACCAGCUCCCAAAAUCACCUGUGUGGUUGACCUCAUUUGGAGAAGAGGGGUCUUCUUGCCUAUGGUCACACAGCUCAGGGUCGCAAUCCUGUCCCUUUCCCAUGGAGCUACCCUCACUCCAGCUCCCCUUGGUACACAUCGUGCUCAAGGAACAGGCAGCUUACCAGGUACUCCCUGUGGCCCGAGGCCCCUCCCUGUGGCCCCAGGCUCCCACCAAAUCCCUGAGCAAAUAGUGCAGUGUUGCCUGUCUGUGGUUUCAUGUUGAACUAAUUAAAUGCUCAAGUGCUGUUUAACUGUGUGCCUUGAUGACUGCCUCUCUCCAUCCUUUAAUGACCCCUGAUGCCCACAUGGCUCAUGAGUGAAGGUGUCCCCACCCCAGAUGCCCCCUCCCAAGGUGUGCUUUCAGGACUCAGCUCCUAGACAGGGACAGUCAGCCAUUAGGGAUAGGGUGGGACCAGGGCAGGGGCUCUCCUGACUCCUGAUAUCUGUUCGCCUGCCCCCCAGCGUUACUGCCACCUGCUAUAGGUGACUGAGAAGUGGGCCUAGGGCACCUUCAGACUCAACCCCAAUGAUUAGGACAUCCACACAGCCAGCAAGCACCACCUGAAGGUGGUCAUGGAGCUUAGACUAUGGAUGUGGCAGACCUGCUCGAUGCUCUCUGGCCUCCUGUGGGAGCCUAUCAGGACCAUGGUGGAUCCCACAGAGGGUCUUGCUCUGUCACCUAGUCUGGAGUGCAGUGGUGGGAUCUCUCCUACCUGCAAACUUUGCCUCCCUGGGUCAAGUGAUUCUCCUACCUCAGCCUCCCAAGUAGCUGGGAUUACAGAUAGAGUUUUGCUCUUGUCACCCAGGCUGAAGUGCAAUGGCACUCGGCUCAGUGCAACCUCUGCCUCCCAGAUUCAAGCAAUUCUCCUGCCUCAGUCUCCACAGUAGCUGGAACUACAGGUAUGUGCCACACCCAGCUAAUUUUUGUAUUUUUUAGUAGAGACAGGGUAUUACCAUGUGGCCAGGAUG